CACUGUUAAAAUACACCUACUAUUACAAUUAUAGGAUCACACAUUUCUUUGCAAGUGGCUAAACUUGCGAAAUCGGCAGGGGUUCAAAUACUUAUUUUCCUCACUGUAAUUCCCACGAAGGUGAUUGGAGGAGACAAAGUGACACCUUGUUUUCACGAGCAGGAGAGUAAUCUGCUUGAGCUGCGGUAGUUAUUCUGGUGUGACUGCCAAAUCAACCGAAUCCCUCGCUGGAAACCUUAAUUAAAUAGUGACUAGCAACACAACCCAUACCAGCACUUUAACCCCAUCACCCUCGGCGUGUGUGUGGAAGUAUCCAGCACUGGGCUGUUUACAUCAGGCCUGAAUCCUCCCUGAAAUAAGAUUAUUUUCCCCUCCACGGUCACCAUAAUAAUAAUAAUAAUUAAUUUAAUUUGUAAUGCACUCUUCAUUCAGAAGAAUCUCAGAGUGCCAACAUAUUAGAAACUAACCAUAAUAAUACAAUAAUAAAAAAAAUUAGUUAACAACCAUAUUUUGUAGUCAGUACAAAGCAUUAUUGUUUUCAGCAUGUGUUGGGUUGAAAAUAUCUUUAUCCUAUUCUUUUUUGUCAACUUAAUGCUGUAUCUGCCAAAUGCUCUUCAAAAGGGUCCAAGACAGUCACACUGAAAGCUAUAUAGAUAGUUGACAUAAACAUCACGCCAAUGCUAUUAUUUGAGGUGUUGGUUAGUGUCUAUAUAUAACAGGCUGGGGGCUGAGGCAGUGGAUGAGCCCAGAUGAGGAUGCAAGUGCAAUGUGAGUGGUGCCUGAAUUGCAAAUCAAAUUUAGUCCACGAUUAAUCUUCUCAAAUCCACACCUGGGACAGCUGCCAGACGUUGGGACAGUGUACAACAUUGUCUGAAGUUGUAAAAGGAAGAAAGAAAAGAAAAAAAAGGACAGAUGACCAGCAUUGAAAUGUUAUUUUUAUUAAAUACCUUCAGAUCAUUUCAAUAACAAAUCUAUGAUGAUCCACCAACAUUCAAACAAACACUUGAUAUUUUUUUUUUUAAUUCAUGGUUUUAUUAAUCAUAUGGUCAUGCAAAAAAAUCCAGCAUCCAAUUUUAAAACUCAAGAGUAUAGUCAUAUGAAGCCCCAUAGCAUAUGGUUUAAAAGCAAUAAAUUCACUAAUAUAGGGGAACAUACCAAGCUAAGGCUUUGUUAAUCUUUUGUCCAUUAAAAACAUGAUACAUCACUUCAUUGUAGUAUCGGAGACAGAGCCAUUUCAUCACCUUGAGGAUGCAGGUAACACACACAUAGAUUUCCAUUUUUGAAGUUAACACAGACAGUGAAAAUUAUUACCAGAAAGUAGACAUGCAUAUUUCCUCCACUUGUAAAACUGCAUAUAUGUUUAGUAGGUAAAGUGAGUGGCUUUUCGGGAUUUAUUGUUAUUUUUCUCUUUUCGACUGUUUAGUACAUAACGGCCCUCAUAGUCCUGCAGCGGGCGGGCUUAGCGCUACGCAGGGCGUCAUGUUUAGACCUCGAUUAUCUUAUUUGUUUCUCGGUCAUCCCUUUCAAAGUCUUUUUUUUUCUGGACUAUGGCGGUGCUUAAGCAGACUGCAUUGAUAACUCUUACAAAUGAACAUUCCCAAGGCUGAAUGAAUGACACAACAGUUAGGUGGAGAGGGGAGGGGAGGGGAGGGGAGGGGAGGGGAUGGGUACGAGGCGGGGAGGGUGGUGGUUCACUGGGGGCGCAAGAAAGCCAGACACAGGCCCCCUGUAGGACCGAACGAUACAGUUAAAAACAUCACGCAAGUCAGAACUACACAUCGCAAGGUGGUGCGGGGCGUAAGGAAGGGGCGUCUGAUGGAGAAAGUGGGGGUGGGCGUCACGGUGCGCCCCUGGGGGGGGGGUGGCAAGCUGGGCUGGUGCACGGUGUGGGUGAGGGGGGGGGAGCUCACGACAAGCGCACACACACACACACACGUGAGAUGACUUGGGCAGAGUUUAGACUUCCUCUCUCUCUCUCUCUCUUAUUUUUUUUAAAAAGUCUUCAAGAUAGACGGCAACGUUUCUUCCUUCCUGAUAGUGAUUUCCCCCCCCUAGUCUCCUCUCUGCCCAGGACUGGCAUGAGCACUAUGGAACAAAGCACUAUUGCUCGACACAAAAGUCAACGAGGGCCACACAGCAAGCCUGACCCCUCCGGCGGCACAAGUUACACGCAGCACAUUUUAUACUUGGAACACAGUGAAGAAACAGCUGAAUUGUUACACCAUCGACACACGGAUAUGUUCUUUAAAAGGGAGCUCAUUGCACGUGUUUGUGUUUGUGUGUGUGCAUGUAUAAAUUCACCUGUGUACUUAAGUUGUAUGAUUAGUGAGGGGUGUGUUUAUGCAAGUGAAUGCGUGUGAUUAGGUCUAGCCAACAAGUGUAACAUGUUAUUCAGAGAAACCGUCUCCGUGUUAAUAUUUCUGUGUGUGUGUGUGUGUGUGUGUGUGUGUGUGUGUGUGUGUGGGUGGACAGAGGGAGGGGACUUCAGUGAUCCGUCUCCAUCCCCCAGUGAGUGACUGCCACCAGGUGAGUCUGCCCAGCUCCAAUAGAAAAGACCAGAUCAGCCAUACCAACACUACAAACACUACAAAACACUAAACAGGAAGAACAUUUACAAACAAAAACGGCAACAAAUACGCCUUCAAACCUUCAAUUGCCUUCAGCUCGACUUAAGCCCCUCAACUUUCCUCUAUCCCGUGAUACACUCCAUUCUUCUAUCCCAUCAAUCAGACGUCAGCAGUUGAACAUGUGACCGCUCACCACACCCCAGCAUACCCAGUGUUCCUCUUUAACAGUGUGUGUCUCCCCCCCCCCCACGCCUGCUACCAAUAAACCGUGAACAGCAAAGGGGGGAGGGGGGGUUGUAAGGGAGGGACAACAAAAGACGAUACAAACUCAGAACAGGACUUGGACAACGAGGACACCGGACAGACAGGUGCAUGGACAUAUUGAGGGGGCUUCCUUGGCUACGGACUGGAUGUCAGGGUCCCUCUCCUCUGGAAUUAAAACAAAAAAUUGAAAGACCCUUGGCAGGGAAGUUAUAACCUGAAGUUGCAGAGAGAAAAGCGAGGAAGAGUUCACCGCAUGUGAACAGAACAGCAUAGAGUCUCAAGCUUAUGUGCAAAAACAGUACAGGCCAUAUUUCCUCCACCCCUCCCCCACCCAUAACAACGAACAAACAAACCAACCAAACAUGCUUCAUAGAGUAUAGAAAAAACGAUAUGCAAUAAAAAAAGGACUUUGAGAUCAGUGCCUGUGUGCAGGAGAGAGAGCUGUGGUCCGAGUUGUAGUGUUUAGCGCCCCUUAGUGCACUGGAGGCAGUAACAGUGAACUCUGACAACGCCGAAACGAAUCACAAACAAACAGGGAGUGUUCUGCAACUUCAGGUUCCGACAGCCGGGGGGGAGGGCGUCGCUGAGGACAGAAGAGUGGGCCGGAGCCCUGAGGUCCGCAGCCAACCACAGCUCACGGCAUCUGGCUGCCAUGCAAGUAGGAGGAGUUAGAGAGGGGAGGAACAAAUUCUCAAAAAAGCACAACAGAGCCAGCAAUGAGCUGGAGAACACACACACUCACUCAUUCACACACACACACACAUAGACUGCACACUCCUCCACACCCAGAAGCCUGACACUAAAGACCUUUUUUUAACCUUUCUCUGUAUAAAUAUCUAUGUAUACAUAAUGUUAAAUAAAGCCCCUGUUCACCCCUCCCCUUUUAAAACAAUUCUGUUAAACACAAAAUACUUUCAAAUACAGCAUCAUUCAGGAGAUAAAAAUCAAGAGUUUCACAUAAACACAAUACUUAAAAAAAAAAAAAACAUUUCCAUUUGAACCCCGGUUCCCUCCCCCUCCCCACAAAAGGAACAUUAACACAUCUCUUUAAUGUCUAAAUGCAUCUAAACAAGUCUACACUUUGGUGCUUUUAACUUCUGAUAUUAGCUAUACACAAUUUAGUCCCUUUCAGGCCACCAUCCCACCCAUAUCUCUGCAUACAAAAAACAAACAAAGAAUAAACAAAAAAACACCAACAAAGGAAUCCUCACAUCACCGGUCUCUAAAAUGGGUGUGUGCUCUUACACAAAGGAACACAAUUCACAUUUCUGAACGGCAAUCGACUCCUAAACUCUCAGUCCUCUUGAUUUGACGUGAAGUUGCAGACAAAUUUCAAAUAGGUUGCACUAGUUAAUACUUUGAAACACCCUUUAAAAAAAAAAAAAAAAAAAACAACAAACAAACAAAAAAAAAAAAAAAAAACACAACUUCUCUGAACAACAGGCAAUAAAGAUGGUGAAGAAAGGACGAGACAGUGCCCCCUUGAGGGCCUUUAGAAGCAUGCACCAUCCAGAAGACUAGGAUUGCCCCAGCCCCACGCUCCCUGGUCUGGUAGCUAGGGGUUGGACUCAACAGGAGGAGGUGGUGGUAGUAGUGGUGGUGGUAUUGCCCGACAGGCUUUUGAAAGAUAUACGUAUUUUACUUUUUACGGUUGUUUUUUUUAAAUUUUUUUAUCUCUUCUGGUGUCAAAUCUUCAAGAGGUCUCUUCCAACCAGGUACCUGGCGCCAACCCGACCACGGAGAAGAAAUGCUCCAAUCAGCUUCAGACAUCAGGCAAGCUAGACGCAGAAGAAGGGGAACAGACUUUACUGUUUGGGAACAAACAGGAGCACAUCUAUAAGAGUUACUGAUCAAAAUGAGUACGAAAUGUGUAAUGUGUAUAUGUAAUUUGUACUAUGUACUUUGUACUCAUGUAAUUAGACCUAUAAUCUUAGUGUCGUUAGAACCUUGCUCUCCCAGCUCCUCUACUAAUUGAGGCACAAGAACACUAUGUGUGUGUGUGUGUGUGUGUGUGUGUAAGUGCAUGAAUGUGUCUCUUAAAAAGAGGACUUUUGAACAUUAGUCCAUGAGUAUGUGUGGUGUGGUGAAAGUGUGAGAGUGUGUGUGAGUGUGUGUGUGUGUGUGUGUGUGUGUGUGU
ensembl:lncRNA